GAUGAACGCUGGCGGCGUGCUUAACACAUGCAAGUCGAACGAAGCAAUUGGAGUGCUUGCACUUUGAUUGACUGGAGUGGCGGACGGGUGAGUAACGCGUGGGUAACCUGCCUCACACAGGGGGACAACAGUUGGAAACGACUGCUAAUACCGCAUAACAUGUGACUGUGGCAUCACAGACACAUCAAAGAUUUAUCGCUGAAAGAUGGGCUCGCGUUGGAUUAGAUAGUUGGUGAGGUAACGGCUCACCAAGGCGACGAUCAGUAGCCGGUCUGAGAGGAUGAACGGCCACAUUGGGACUGAGAUACGGCCCAGACUCCUACGGGAGGCAGCAGUGGGGAAUAUUGGGCAAUGGGGGAAACCCUGACCCAGCAACGCCGCGUGAAGGAAGAAGGCUUUCGGGUUGUAAACUUCUUUUACCAGGGACGAAGAACGUGACGGUACCUGGAGAAAAAGCAACGGCUAACUACGUG
rnacentral:rRNA from 1 species